rnacentral:rRNA from 1 species
AUUGAACGCUGGCGGCAGGCCUAACACAUGCAAGUCGAACGAGUGGCGGACGGGAGAGCAAUGUCUGGGAAACUGCCCGAUGGAGGGGGAUAACUACGGGAAACAGGAGCUAAUACCGCAUACCAUCGGAUGUGCCCAGAUGGGAUUAGAUUGUAGGUGGUGUAACGUCUCACCUAGGCGACGAUCUCUAGCUGGUCUGAGAGGAUGACCAGCCACACUGGAACUGAGAAACGGUCCAGACUCCGACGGGAGGCAGCAGUGGGGAAGAUUGCACAAUGGGCGCAAGCCUGAUGCAGCCAUGCCGCGUGUGUGAAGAAGGCCUUCGGGUUGUAAAGUACUUUCAGCGGGGAGGCGUUACUCGCAGAAGAAGCACCGGCUAACUCCGUGCCAGCAGCCGCGGUAAUUC